rnacentral:snoRNA from 1 species
AGCUAAAUGAAGUGAUUUUUUUUUUUUUUUGAAAUUGAUGUAGAUCUCUUGUUUCAUACAUACCUUCAAAGUUCUAUGAUUGCU